AUGAGGACUUUGGAUCAUCAGUAUGAGGUCGUUAGCAAGAUCCUUUCUCAAAGUGGUUUCGGCUCGGAUUGGACCAAUAAUAGGCUAUCAAUGGAUAGUGAUGAUGUUUGGGCUAAAUAUAUGGAGGCUAACAAGGCAUGCAAGGAGAUAAAGUCUUACAAGACCAAAGUAAUCAAGAACUGGGAGCCCAUAUGUAUCGUAUAUUCAAAAGAUCAUGCUAAUGGCGAGGGUGCGAAGACAGGUGCUGAGAUUGCUGCAGAGCCAUUAGAAGAACCGGCUGAAGUCUCUCCAGAAGUAGCGCCAAAGAGGCAGCAAACAGGUGAUGCUAUUCUUUGCAUGCUUGGGAUAUGA
rnacentral:rRNA from 1 species